UAGUCCACGCCGUAAACGACGAGUGUUAGAUGUCCGAGGUAAACUUGGGUGUCGGAAGCCAACGCGAUAAACACUCCGCCUGGGGAGUACGCACGCAAGUGUGAAACUCAAAGGAAUUGACGGGGACCCGCACAAGCAGCGGAGCAUGUGGUUUAAUUCGGCGUUUUUCAACGCGAAGAACCUUACCAAGUCUUGACAUAUUUCGGAGGGACUUAGAGAUAAGUUCCAAGGACUUCGGUCCACUGAAAAAC
rnacentral:rRNA from 1 species